rnacentral:rRNA from 1 species
UACGAAGGGGGCUAGCGUUGCUCGGAAUUACUGGGCGUAAAGCGCACGUAGGCGGACCUGCAAGUCGGGGGUGAAAGCCCGAGGCUCAACCUCGGAACUGCCUUCGAUACUGCGGGUCUCGAGUCCGGGAGAGGUGAGUGGAAUUCCUAGUGUAGAGGUGAAAUUCGUAGAUAUUAGGAAGAACACCAGUGGCGAAGGCGGCUCAGCUGGCCCGGUACUGACGCUGAGGCGCGAAAGCGUGGGGAGCAAACAGG